UACGUAGGUGGCAAGCGUUGUCCGGAUUUACUGGGCGUAAAGAGCGCGCAGGCGGUCGGAUAAGUCGAGUGUGAAAGCCCCUGGCUCAACCAGGGAGGGUCAUUCGAUACUGUUCGACUCGAAGGCAGGAGAGGGAAGUGGAAUUCCGGGUGUAGUGGUGAAAUGCGUAGAUAUCCGGAGGAACACCAGUGGCGAAGGCGACUUUCUGGCCUGUUCUUGACGCUGAGGCGCGAAAGCGUGGGGAGCGAACAGG
rnacentral:rRNA from 1 species